rnacentral:rRNA from 1 species
ACGCUCGACACCUACGGGAGGCAGCAGUAGGGAAUCUUCCACAAUGGACGCAAGUCUGAUGGAGCAACGCCGCGUGAGUGAAGAAGGUUUUCGGAUCGUAAAGCUCUGUUGUUGGUGAAGAAGGAUAGAGGUAGUAACUGGCCUUUUAUUUGACGGUAAUCAACCAGAAAGUCACGGCUAACUACGUGCCACAGCCGCGGUAAUCUGAGCGGGCUGGCAAGGC